rnacentral:rRNA from 1 species
ACGUAGGGGGCGAGCGUUGUCCGGAUUUACUGGGCGUAAAGCGCGUGUAGGCGGUCCCUUAAGUCCGAGGUGAAAGGCGGAGGCUCAACCUCCGAGCUGCGUCGGAAACUGGGGGUCUUGAAUGUCGGAGAGGGGCGUGGAAUUCCUGGUGUAGCGGUGAAAUGCGUAGAGAUCAGGAGGAACACCGGUGGCGAAGGCGGCGCUCUGGCCGAACAUUGACGCUGAGACGCGAAAGCGCGGGGAGCGAACGGGAUUAGAUACCCCGGUAGUCCGCGCCGUAAACGAUGGUCACUAGGUGUACGCGGUAUCGACCCCGCGUGUGCCGCAGCUAACGCAUUAAGUGACCCGCCUGGGGAGUACGGCCGCAAGGUUG